rnacentral:rRNA from 1 species
UACGUAGGGUGCGAGCGUUGUCCGGAUUUAUUGGGCGUAAAGGGCUCGUAGGCGGCGUGUCGCGUCGGGGAGUGGAAAGACCGGGGCUUAACCCCGGUUCUGCUUCCGGUACGGGCAUGCUGGAGUGUGGCAGGGGAGACUGGAAUUCCUGGUGUAGCGGUGGAAUGCGCAGAUAUCACUUGGAACGCCAAAGGUGAAAACAGUCUGCUGGGGAUCUGCUGACGCUGAGACACGAAAGCCAGGGGAGCGAACGGG